UGGCUGUUCCCAUCAUAAGGAAGACACAAUGGAAAAAAAAAACAUAUCAGAAAAUUGUAAAGAGAGCUCCUACUGCCAUUCUAUUAGGGAUGCAAAAUCUACUAUUCAAAGCUGAACUCAUGCAGGCUUCUCCCCAGUGGGUCACAUCUUCUGCAGACCCUGCAAGGCCACGCUCAGGAGAGGGCAAUGCCCUUCGUCCAGCAAACCCAGGCCCUGGCAAUCCCAGGYUGCUGAAGUGCUCUCUAACAGACAGGCCUUCAGCAAAGGGAAACAACUCCUGUUUCAAACAUCUGAUGCAACAUUAACAAAUAGCAUUUCWUCUUGUUGGGCACACACUUUGAUUACACACUGUACUAGCUUUAUGACUUCAUAAAGUAGUGAACACACGAUCUAAUCUGAACUGUCAUUUUGGUUUGCUUAUAAUAUUGCUCAUUUUAAGUUUAUAGUAGUUGGCCCUAUGUGAUGUGCUUCUAUGAUGCUAUAAUAUUUACCCUUACCGUUUAAAAUAAUGAAAUACAGAAAAGCACACAGAACUUGAUUAUGCCUUUAUAUGUAACAGACCUUAGCCAGUUUCUCAUGAAAUACAAGUGACGACUUCUAAAAACAAAGGCUUUCAUUACAAUAGGUUAACUCUUGUAAAGAAAGAUGAAUUCAAAUAUAUCUACUAGCAUUAUCAGAGGACAAGUGAACAUAUUUUACAGGAGAAUAA